UCCCCCACCUCUCCUCACCAGCACGUCUCCUCCCCUUCCCUCCACACAUCUGUCUGGUUCUCUUCCGACCCUUUCCAUCCCCAUCUGCUUCUCCUGCAGUGCCAUACCGCCACUUCAUCCGUGCUCCACUACAAGCACCAGCGAAGCACAUGCUUCGCCUCCUCCAGAUCCACGAGGUGAUGCGGAAGGAACUUGACAUGGAGGAUUCGAGGGCACUACAAAUCAAGAGAACAAGCUCCGCCAGCGACCCCUUUCCACCGAGCUCAGACAAAAGGAGCUGGCUGUGCAUGGGGAUAUUGACCACAAAGAUCAAUGAUGGCUAUGGGAUUCUCAAAUCCACAAAUUUAUGUUGUUUCCUUUUUUCUUUAUCAUGUGGAUGUCAACGAAAAAGGGCCCGUGUUAUAUUCUCAUGCGCCAGAUUCAGUUAUUUGCAUCGAAGUUGUUUGGAUUUACCAGGAGGAAGCGGUAUGUUUUUUUGGUCCACACCCAAUUGACUACAAUUUCAGAUUGGUUUUUGUUUUUGCAGCUAUUCAGAACGCAUGUUCAUCUUCCCCCAACCUACACAGUGAAUACUAACAUUUUUUAUGAUGAUACAUGAGCCAGUAUUAUGGCUCAUCUUGAUCUGCUAUUUGGAUCAAUACAAUUUUGUGGAAUUGUACGUACUUCUCUUCAUGUUGUUUACAGACAGCCGAAGUUACAAAUCCAGUCGUGACGACUACAUGUAAUUGUUUGUACAUAAGCCUCAAUUGAAGAUAAGGUUGAUAGAAGUACUUUGUAUAUAUGUUCUCCCCAUUUAAAAAAAUAGGUAAGUUCUAUGGGAACAGCUGGAGCGAUGUCUGUUUUAUUUACAAUGUAUAUCAAUGUAUCAUGACUUGUGGGUGCAGGUUGUGCUUUACGAUCCUAACGAGAAAUUCUUAUCGGGAGAGGUUUCUUAUCAGUUCUAUGAGAAGUGCAAUAUUUAAGGACGCCGAUAACUGCCACACGUAUGGUAUAUACGACAUGCGCCCACAUAUCGUGUGUGGUGUGAGCAGGAGGCAGCCCACACGGGCUGUGUGUGGGCGGACAUUAGAAUUGCCCACACGUGUGGGCGCGGCUACUUUGUGCCACACACCCAACAAGUACUACUCAUCUCCACCCCGUGCGUGUGGCAUGAAGCAAAAAUGCCCACACGUCCUGACGCAGCUACGUUAGGUACCCCGCGGGAUGACGAUUUAGUUGCCAUCUUGGUUGGCAGAUGUAGUUAUCCGGGAUGGCAAGUGUAGUUGUAAAAGCGUGGCAACUCUAUCUGUUUUGGUUAACUAUAGUUGCCAUAUCUAAUUUAUGAUAGUUGCCGCGUGUAAAUCAAACCGUAGUUGCCGUGUGUGAUUAACUACAUGCCACAUAUAGUCAAAACAGUAGUUGCCAUGUGUGUUUACCUAGUUGCCACGUGUGGUCCAACCAUAGUUGCCAUGUAUUGUUAAUCACAGUUGCCAUGUGUGUUUAUCUGGUUGCCACGUACGCGCAACUACAGUUGCCGUGUAGCAAAGAAUCACAGUUGCCAUGUGUGUGUACCGAGUUGCCAUGUUCGCGUAACUGCAGUUGCCAUGUAGCAAAGAAUCACAGUUGCCAUGCGUGUGUAUCGAGUUGCCACGUUCGCGUAAUUGCAGUUGCCAUCCACAAAAUAGUAGUGUCGUGUGGGCGAAAAGCAGUUCGCCCACACGCGCAUGACCUAGUUGGUGGCUGUGUGGACGAAAAGCAGUUCGUCCACACAAUGUAGCUGUCAAACAACGUGGUGCGGGCGUGUGGGCAAACUCUCCAACGCUCACACACCAGCCCCAUCCUAUGUGGCACACCAAAUCCACCUUUUCGUAUCAAGAUUCGUGCAAAAAACAGUGAACGACGAUUCAGGCGUAUGGGCGAGUUGGGUAACACCCACACGUGUGGGCGUUAGUAUUUUCGAUAUUUAAUACAUGUUUUGCGAGCCUACAUCCAUUGUUGUCCAUCAACCAAUUCUGUAGUAGAUGUUGGCUCGCAAAAUAGAUGUGAUCCCUUUUUGCUUUUUUCAAAUAUUUUCAGAAUUGUACAGUCACUCACCAUAUUACACUUUUGAUCUCCAUAGAGGAUAUGUUUGUGAGCAUGUUAAUCUCAGUCUUCUAUUAAUGAAGUACCCAUUCAUUGGUCCAUGUUUUGCUGAUCGAGUAUACUGUUUGCUUGAAUUUAUAAUGUGAUAUGGAACCAGGAUAAGUCUUAAUCAAUAGCAAUUAAAAGUUUUUUUUGAAUUGCUGAAGAUCUGAAGAAUCCACUCACCCGGAGAUCUUUUCAGUUGGUUUGUAUACAUGUUUGAUUUCUGAAGGUUUGAGCAUAAUGGACAAGACUUAUAUGGGCAAACACUUGGUGUGCUUCCUACCGAUGCUUUUCUUUGAGGUCGUUGUAUGUGGUAGUUCAACUGUAUCUGCUGUUUCCAUUUGUUUUUGGGUUUUGUCCAGUCAUUUCUUUGUCAUUGUACUUUGGCAAUUUGGCCCUUCUGUUAUUCUAUUAAGUUUACAUGCAGCUCUCUUGCAUGGUUCAGAAAAAAAGCUUAAUCCCAAAAUUCAAAGGAAAAACUAAAAUAAGUGUUUCUUAGUAUCGAAGUACUAUUCCAUGCUUUGAUGCUCUCCGAGACACUAUUUUAGUUCAGUUCAUAUAAAUUAUGCUGAAACUCAAACAUUGAUCGAACAAAUACGAUUGAAUGUUGAUCCUUGUACUCCGGCCAUCAAUCCACAUGGCCCAGUUGCUACCAAUGGUAAGUCAACUCUCUUUGCUAUUACAUUUUUUUCCUUGGAAUUUUUUGUGGUGAUUUAAGGUUUUAUUUAGUUUCUAUGCUACCUUCAAUGCCAACAAAAAGAUCCCGCAUCAACGCGCGGGGUAUCAUCUAGUAUAUUUAAGAAGUUUAUCCCACUAACAUAUUUAUCUAAACAUGCAUGCUAUCCACAUCAGCAGCCAAACACAUCAACAUUUCUUUACCGGCUUACAUGGGGGACCCACGAGAGUACACAUCAUCCACAUCAACCUUCGGUUACCAGCAUUAGGACCCACCAUAGGUGAUCACGAACCGCUUUUCCCUGAUUCAUCUGAAACAACCGCUCCCAUGUCCAGUUCCACCACAAAGAAAUUGUCCAUUCGAUUCCCCUCCCAUCCUCUGUAACCGAGGAGUCAAUCGAAUAUCCACCACCACCCCAUGUGCAUCCAGUUUCCAACCCUCCUCGACAGUGAUCCGGCGAGGUGCAGCGACCCUGCCUAGCGACCCACGGCGAACCAGGCACGCCGGCCAUCCGGUGUGACCCCGGUGACCCGUCCCACGAUCCCGAGGACAUCGCCAUGACCCCGGCCCGCUACCCUGCGUCCUCAUCGGCGCCGGCACCUCGCGACCCCUGCGAGCCAUGCGGCUUCGGCGACCCCGCCUACUAACUGUGUGUAUGUUCUUCGACCUAUCACUCCAGUUGUUGUUCAGGGGAGGGCACUUCCGUGGGCGUCAGGUGGACGGUAGAGGUCUCCAUGGACCAGAUCUGCUGACAACUUAAUCCACAAAGGAAUUUUCCAUCACUUCAAUCCGAGCUAUGUAGCCCUUGUGGAGGAGUAUCGAGGAAGGAGGUGGAAUCGGCUGCUGACUGUGCCUCUACCUGCGCAUCUAACCGUUUGAGGCUGACCACAAUUGGUUGAUUAUGCCCUACUGAAUCAGGUAUAUCUAAUUGACAAUUGUGCUCUGCAUUCAGACUAUAAUUGACAAUUGUGCUCUCGCAUUCAGAAAAAGGUGCAUGGUUUAAACCAUGUUUAUCUUGAUUGCAGUUUAUCCAACAUAUUGCAGGUUUAAACCAUGAGAUUUUCUAGGUUAUCCAAAGGCAUGACAGCACAACAGGUGAUCCGACACAUGGCUCACAUGGUAUCAUACUUUGUAUUUGUUCAGGGUGUUUUCAUCUUUAUCUCUUUUGGAUUCAACAAGAAAAGAAAAAAAUAUGUUGGGAUUUCAACCGCCUAGAGUCAUCAAUUUAUGUAAGAUUGUAUAUACUAAGUGGCGGCUCGCCAUAUUUUUUGCAUUAUGGAUUUUCAAGUCACCGGCCAGGUAAUCCGAGGUUAUUAUGAUAUUUUCCAUUAAAAUUAAUGUUUCAUUUGAUGUGAAUAAGAUUAUUCACUUUGAAGUUAUUUGGGAGAAGUAUGCAAAUAACAUGUUCUUUUUUCGCAAUCGCGCCAUCCGCAUCCAAAAACUACUGCAUCAAGUCUAAUUUGUAUAUCUGACAGAAGGUAUUACAGUAGAGUAUACUACCUUUAAUAAAAAACACUUUUAAGCAAUUAAUAACUUCUAACUGAUCCCUGUCGCCAUCUUAUCCAUCUUAUCAUAUGUAAAAUUACACGUAUUUCUCUCAUCACAAUUUUUUCAAUUGAUAACAAUGUGUCAACUACUUCGUUAGAGAUUGUUGGCAAAACAUGCUAUUUUUGCUUCAAGUAUGGUUUCUCAAGAUGACAUUUAUAGUUUCCUCAUGCUGUCUGCGCGCAACUUUGUUCCAUAAAUAAGUUCAUAUAUUUUUAGUCGUUUAAUAUAUGUGUGUUGUUCCGGUGAGUUGACAAGUGGAAGACCUUUUCGACUGUAUAGUCAUUCAUAGUAAAUAAUCUCUGAAUGGAAUGUUGAAUUUGAAAUAGAAUGGUAAUUGGUUUCUACACUCAAUAGUAAAGUUAAUUGCAUGCAUCAGUUCAGAAGCUUUCGUAAUGUGCCCAUUGUUUUAUGGUAAAAAAAAGUACCCAUUGUUUUAUGCUUUCUUCUCCUUGCCUCCUCUCACAUUUGUAAUAUAUUGUCUCUUUAAGUAUUUUGGCAUGCUUAUGUACCACGACAUUGUUCAUAUUUUUUGCUAUGUACCGUUAAGAAAAGUCACAACAAAUUCCCGCAGCAACGCGCGGGGUAUCUUCUAGUCUUCAUAACAAUUCUACACGGGCUUGAAUGAUCAUAGGUGAAUUCAAUGAAAUUCUUGUUGCAAGUGAGAAGGAAGGAGGUAACAUGAGGCCACCAUAGUAUAUGCAAAAUUUCAAAGAUUGUCUAGAAGAAUAGCCGAAGGGGGGACGCCGAUUCGAAGCACACUGGCUGAACGUUGAUACAACGGACAAAAUCGUCAAGACUGCGUGGCGGUGGUCUCAGCUAGCUAGCGCUGGAUUGUUACUGGAAACUCUUACAAAAGUUGUAAAAGAUGAUCAUUUUCAUGUUGGAAAUAUGCCCUAGAGGCAAUAAUAAAAUGGUUAUUAUCA